UACGUAGGGGGCUAGCGUUGUCCGGAAUCAUUGGGCGUAAAGCGCGUGUAGGCGGUCCGGUAAGUCCGCUGUGAAAGUCGGGGGCUCAACCCUCGAAUGCCGGUGGAUACUGUCGGGCUAGAGUGCGGAAGAGGCGAGUGGAAUUCCUGGUGUAGCGGUGAAAUGCGUAGAUAUCUGGAGGAACACCGGUGGCGAAGGCGGCAUCCUGGACCGGUAUUGACGCUGAGGCGCGAAAGCCAGGGGAGCAAACGGG
rnacentral:rRNA from 1 species